GUUAAACGGCCGCGGUAGCCUAACCGUGCUAAGGUAGCAUAAUCAUUUGCCUCUUAAUUAGUGGCUAGUAUGAAAGGACAAACGAGAGCCUAGCUGUCUCCUUCCUACAAAUAAAAUUUAACCUCUAGGUGAAAAGGCCUAGAUAUCUAUAUAGGACAAGAAGACCCUGUCAAGCUUCACUAAAAUAAAAUAACAACCCAUAUUUCUAUAACCAUCUUAUUAUUAAAUUAGUUUAGUUGGGGCGACUGGGAAUAAAAACUAACAUUCCCCCAUAACAUAGGACAAUAAUCCAACUCAAUCUGACCCUUCACUAAAGACCAAGAGAAAAGCUACUGCAGGGAUAACAGGCUAAUUUUCCUUAAGAGUCCAAAUCGAAAGGAAAGUUUGGCACCUCGAUGUUGGCUUAAGACACCCUUAAAGUGCAGCAGCUUUAAAUGGUAGGUUUGUUCACCCUUUAAAGUCUUACGUGAGCUGAGUUCAGACCGGCGCAAGCCAGGUCAGAUUCUAUCCAUAUAGUCCACCAAACUCUCAACCAAUUGUACGAAAGGAUCCUGGUUCACUAAUCAUCACAACUAGAACCUCUAAACCUCUCUCUCCCAUAAUAUAAACUUCUAGACUUUUCUACCAACCCCGAAACCCCUAAAUCGGAAUACGACUUUCGUAAAAGUCCCUCAU
rnacentral:rRNA from 1 species